rnacentral:rRNA from 1 species
UACGUAGGGACCAAGCGUUGUUCGGAUUUACUGGGCGUAAAGGGCGCGUAGGCGGCAAUUCAAGUCAUCUGUGAAAUCUCCGGGCUUAACCCGGAACGGUCAGGUGAUACUGUUUUGCUAGAGUGCGGAAGGGGCAAUCGGAAUUCUCGGUGUAGCGGUGAAAUGCGUAGAUAUCGAGAGGAACACCAGAGGUGAAGACGGGUUGCUGGGCCGACACUGACGCUGAGGCGCGAAAGCGUGGGGAGCAAACAGG